CCUACGGGGGGCAGCAGUGGGGAAUAUUGGUCAAUGGGCGCAAGCCUGACCCAGCAACGCCGCGUGAAGGACGAAGGUGCCAAGCAUUGUAAACUUCUUUUGUCAAGGGACAAAAUCAGGCUCGAGAGCCUGACCGAGGGUACUUGAAGAAAAAGCAUCGGCUAACUCCGUGCCAGCAGCCGCGGUAAUACGGAGGAUGCGAGCGUUAUCCGGAUUUAUUGGGUUUAAAGGGUGCGUAGGCGGACUGUUAAGUCAGCGGUAAAAUCCCGGGGCUCAACCCCGGCGAGCCGUUGAAACUGGCUGUCUUGAGAUGUCGAGAGGUAUGCGGAAUGCGCAGUGUAGCGGUGAAAUGCUUAGAUAUUGCGCAGAACUCCGAUUGCGAAGGCAGCAUACCGGCGGCGAUCUGACGCUGAGGCACGAAAGCGUGGGUAUCGAACAGGAUUAGAUACCCUUGUAGUC
rnacentral:rRNA from 1 species